rnacentral:lncRNA from 1 species
CACACACAAACACUAUUGUGUUUUUUAAGUUUUUGUCCUCCAGACAGUCUAGUCUAGUGGGCGUGGUGACAGGUGUUCUACAGGGUCUGUUAUGAACGAGACACAGACAGACAGUAGUGUAGUGGGCUGCUCUCUCAUGCUAACACUAAGAAGAGAUACGCAUGUUCCAGACGGCUGUUGUGAAUGAAUCAUUCCUUUGCUGUUUCCUGGACUGGUAAUCCUAUUUAUUUUUCUUCAAAUUCCCCUUAUAGAUGCUCAGUGGUACGUUGUACAUUUUAGGACAUCCCUACUCCGUAGGAGGUCCUAAAAUGUACACCGUGCAGCAUACCUUAAAGUGUUACCAAGCAAUGAUCUGAUGCAUAGAACAUACAUGUUUCUCCCCAGCCCUGGGCACGAGGAGGUAAAGGAACUCUGUAUCAAAGCUGAGAGAUACUGAGUGUAGCUGCUAUGUGUGCAGUGUGACAGCCUGGUUUCAAGAUGUCGUGCAGACACUCCCAGCGCUACACAUGUUUUACUGGUGGCAUUCACUAUGUUCCCCUGCUAUUUGACAGGAAAACCCCAGCUUGUCAUAUAUCAGUUUCUGUUGUAAAAAAAAUAUUUAAAACUUUUUUAAGUCAUCAUUUUCUAUUCUUCAUGACUGUCUUUGCCAGGGAUUACUGUAGAUUGAUAGGAAUCAUGUCACCAGGUGUAAACUGGGUGUUGAACAGGUGUCAGUGUGAACAGGUGUCAGUGUGAACAGGUGUCAUUGUGAACAGGUGUCUUUGUGAACAGGUGUCUGUGGGAACAGGUGUCAGUGUGAACAGGUGUCAGUGUGAACAGGUGUCAGUGUGAACAGGUGUCUGUGGGAACAGGUGUCAUUGUGAACAGGUGUCAGUGUGAACAGGUGUCAUUGUGAACAGGUGUCAGUGUGAACAGGUGUCAGUGUGAAAAGGUGUCAGUGUGAACAGGUGCUGAACAUCCUCACAUCAAAGAUAGGAACUGAAUGACACUGAUCAUUACAGUAAAGUAAACUGGGAGCAAGAACAUACAAGGUAUAUGUGGUGUGUGUGUGUGUGUGUGUGUGUGUGUGUGUGUGUGUGUGUGUGUGUGUGUGUGUGUGUGUGUGUGUGUGUGUGUGUGUGUGUGUGUGUGUGUGUGUGUGUUUGCUCCAUACUCCUCCAUACUCUUCCAUACUGCUCCAUACUCCUCCAUACUCCUCCAUACUGCUCCAUACUCCUCCAUACUCAUCCAUACUGCUCUCCCUCCAGCUGGUUGAAAUAGGAUUUUUACUCAUUCACCCUUUACUCUGGAUGUAGCCUAGCUGUGGCAGCUCCAUCCAAUAACAGGGUUCAGUAAUGAAAACACACUGGUCACAGUCCACAACCGCACCAAAAGUGGAAACAAAUUGUCACGCCCUGACCUGAGAGAGACGGUUUAUUUCUCUAUGUGGUUAGGUCAGGGUGUGGGGUGGGCAUUCUAUGUUUUGUAUUUCUUUGUGUUGGGCCGAGUAGGGUUCCUAAUCAGAGGCAGCUGUCUAUCAUUGUCUCUGAUUAGGAAUCAUACUUAGGCAGCCUUUUCCCACCUGUGUGUGUUGGGUAGUUGUUUUCUGUUUUGUGUUUUACCUGACAGAACUGUGCACUUUCGUUUCCAUUGUUUAUAAUUUUGUUUAAGUGUUCUGAGUAAAACUAAAUAUCAAGAUGAACACUUACCACGCUGCACCUUGGUCCCCUCAUUGCGACGGUUGUUACAGAACUACCCACCACAACUGGAUCAAGCAGGAGAUGGAUUCCUGGUCUCUGGAAGAGUGGGAGGAGAGAAUAGACUGGACUUGGGGGCAAGUAUUGGACAGAUAUAGAAACCUGCCAGGGAGGCAAGGAAGGAAGCACGAGAGGCAGCCCCCAAAAUAUUUUUUGGGGGGGCACACGGGUAGAUUGGCGGAGUCAGGGUUGAGACCUGAGCCAACACACCGUGCUUAUCGUGGUGAGCAUGUGCCUGCUUCUCGCACUCUCCCUCCAGUGCGCCUCCACAGCCCUGUACGUCCUGUGCCUGCUCCUCGCACUCUCCCUCCAGUGAUUCUAUUCAGCCUGGUACGCCCUGUGCCUGCUCCACGUACCAGGCUGUCAGUACGUCUCCUCAGUCCGGUGAGACCCGUUCCAGCUCCACGAGAGAAGCCUCCAGUGAUGAUCCAUGGUCCGAAGCCUCCAGUGAUGAUCCAUGGCAUGAAGCCUCCAGUGAUGAUCCAUGGCCCAGAGCCUGUAGGGAUAAUCCAUGACAAGAAGUCUGUAGAGAUGAUCCAUGCCCGGAGCCUGUAGGGAUAAUCCAUGGCAAGAAGCCUGUAGAGAUGAACCAUGGCCCGGAGCCUGUAGGGAUGAUCCAUGGCAUGAAGCCUCCAGUGAUAAUCCAUGGCCCGGAGCCUCCAGUGAUGAUCCAUGGCACAAAGCCUCCAGUGAUGAUCCAUGGUGCAGAACCUGUAGUGUUGAUCCAUGGCACGGAGCCUGCAGCGACGGUCCCCAGUCCGGAACCUACAGCGACGCUCCCCAGUCCGGAACCUUCAGCGACGCUCCCCAGUCUGGAGGCUCCAGCGACGCUCCCCAGUCCGGAGCCUCCAGCGACGCUCCCCAGUCUGGAGGCUCCAGCGACGCUCCCCAGUCCGGAGGCUCCAGCGACGCUCCCCAGUCCGGAGCCUCCAGCGACGCUCCGCAGCCCGGAGCCUCCAGCGUCGGCCUGCAGCCCGGAACCUCCUGAGACGGCCUGCAGCCCGGAACCUCCUGAGACGGCCUGCAGCCCCGAGUCUUCAGUGGCGGCCUGCAGCCCAGAGUCUUCAGCGGCGGUCGGCAGUUCAGAGCCUCCGGCGAUGAUCCACGGUCUGGUUCCUCCGGCGACACAAAAGCGGGGGGAUCAGCGGGCGGUGUGGGGGCUACGCCCCGAACCAGAGCCGCCGCCUAGUAUAGAUGCCCACCCGGAUCCUCCCCUAUAGGUUCAGGUUUGCGGCCGGGAGUCCGCUCAUUUGGGGGGGGGGGUACUGUCACGCCCUGACCUGAGAGAGACGGUUUGUUUCUCUAUGUGGUUAGGUCAGGGUGUGGGGUGGGCAUUCUAUGUUUAGCAUUUUUUUGUGUUGGUCCGAGUAUGGUUCCUAAUCAGAGGCAGCUGUCUAUCGUUGUCUCUGAUUAGGAAUCAUACUUAGGCAGCCUUUUCCCACCUGUGUUUGUGGGGAGUUGUUUUGUAUUCGUUACCUGACGGAACUGUUGGCUUUUCGUUUUGUUCUUUGGCUCUAGUGUUUCAUUGUUUAAUAAAUGUCAUGAACACAUACCACGCUGCGCUUUGGUCCCCUUCCUCCAACGACGGCCGUAACACAAAUAAGAGAAUGUCGUCCAUGGUUGCAUCCCGAAGGUUACCCUAUUCCCUUUAUAGUUCACUACUUUUGACCAGGUUCUAUAGGGCUCUGGUCAAAAGUAGUGCACUAUAUAGGACAUAAGGGGCCAAGUGUUCUAGAUCAUGGAUACAGACAAUACAAACUUUUCCAUGGAAAGAAAUUACAUUUUGACUCUCUAUUUUCUACUUUUAACAGGGUCAGACUGCGGCAAAAAAUGUUACCUUACCAAUAACAUUGAGGGAAUGCUCUGGAAACGUUACACACUGACUUGGAACAAUCUGAAUGAACUCCCACACUUUGUUGGUCUGUGACUGUGUUUUACAGGAAGUCUUAUAUAUUGGUUGGAGUCUUUCCUUUAUCGCCCUCCAGUGUAAUACCACCACAUGGUGUUGGCAGGCGUUGAAGGCGAUGACGUUGGUGCUUUUCAGGGCCUGCUUGUGGCAGUCUUAAUCUCUCGCUAUAAUUCCUUGACCCAGUCCCCAGCGCUGGCUAGAUGAGGACACAGGCAUCAUAUUUUAUAUGCAGGGGUCAGAGUUCACAAGGGAGGUGCAGGAGUUCCGGUGCUUUGAGGCGUUUGUUGGAGGACAGAUCUCCCCGACCUUCCUCACACAUCCACAUCCUCCUCUCCCCCUCCUCACACACUCACGUCCUCCCACAGGUUUGACCUAUGACCUAUGACUGCUGGGGCCCCUGGCCUCCACGUCCCCUCAGCCUAUUGAUUCCCUGGUGAUGAACUUGACUCGAGGGGCCUCUGGGGACCACAGGGACAACAAUGAAAGGGACAUUGUCCUCUCUCUCAGAGAUAAAUUCCCCAACCAAACAAUAGCUUUGCACUUUCCCUUAUUCGCCCUAUUCAUUAAAACCAGCCACUUAUCUUGAGCUGUCCUGGUUCUUUUUCAGCAACUGAUUCAUGAGUGGGAAGUGAGGGGUAAUGCAUGCAUUUCCUGUCCAUGGGAGAAGACAAGGCCUAUUUACUCAGACUAAUAGCCGGAUGAUGAGAACUAUAUAUACCAGAAGACAGAGGCGUAUGUGGCGGCCAGCUGUGGCUGGCAACACGUUACUUUCUAUAUUAGAAAGAGACACAAGGUCAAGGGGAGACAGUCUGCACAUGAAACACUUAUC